GGCUGUGUUAUUUGAGCGGCUAUGCAAGCAGUUAUCAUGGCUGCUUGCAUAGCCGCUCAAAUAACACAGCC
rnacentral:pre_miRNA from 1 species